UUCGUGAAAUAUAAACUGUUUAUCCAAUAAAAUAUUUUUGUGCACUCUACCAUGUUUAAGGCUCGUACAGUUAAUCAAUUGAGGUUCUCUUAUGACCUAAAACGUUGUUUGAGAAUUGUGUACACUUGUUAGCUGACUCGGUGGGUUGAUCUCCAUCGGGCACUAACCAGAGGCGUUAUAAGGGUGCUCGACGGGAUGUGUUCCGGAGCAUAGAAAUAAUAGGCCUGUCUGGAUUAAUUUCCGAGGUUUAUUAUACUUGGCUGGGUUACGCCCUCGGUUCAAGUCAGCGGGAGACAGAGAUCCGUCGGUGGCUAGAGGUCCGGGAUCACAGCGAGUAACAGAAUGGAGUGUGCAAACGCGCGAAAAAUAAUUAAGUAUAUAUAUAUAUGAAAAUGUUUUAACAUGCAUAGAAGUUAUUUCUCUUUAAAACCUUCUAUGUCAUGUCAGUAAGAGUGGAUAAACUGUUCUUCAGAUUAUGAAAUGCUUUAAAAGUUGCAGCCCACUAAGUACAUUAGUACUUAGCCCAAAAUUACUUUCAAAUGUUUUCAGGUUAAUGGCUGGUGAUGACGGGGCAGAGCUGAGGCUAG
rnacentral:lncRNA from 1 species